CCUACGGGAGGCUGCAGUAGGGAAUCUUUCACAAUGGGCGAAAGCCUGAUGGAGCAACGCCGCGUGCAGGAUGAAGGCCUUCGGGUUGUAAACUGCUUUUAUCAGCGAGAAAUAUGAUGGUAACUUAUGAAUAAGGCUCGGCUAACUCCGUGCCAGCAGCCGCGGUCAUACGUAGGAUCCGAGCAUUAUCCGGAGUGACUGGGUGUAAAGAGUUGCGUAGGUGGCAUAAUAAGUAGCUAGUGAAAUCUGGUGGCUCAACCAUUCAGACUAUUAGCUAAACUGUUAAGCUCGAGACCGUUAGGGGUAACUGGAAUUUCUAGUGUAGGAGUGAAAUCCGUAGAGAUUAGAAGGAACACCAAUAGCGUAGGCAGGUUGCUGGGACGGGUCUGACACUAAGGCACGAAAGCGUAGGGAGCAAACGGGAUUAGAUACCCGAGUAGUC
rnacentral:rRNA from 1 species